CUGAGUGCGGGUCCCUCGUGGACCUAACCUCCCACCCUUGUCUCUUGUAUACCCUGUUGCUUUGGCGGGCCCACUGGGCACUCCCAGUCGCCGGGGGCCACUGUGCCCCGGGCCCGCGCCCGCCAGAGCGCCCUUGAACCCUAAUGAAGAUGGACUGUCUGAGCGUGAUUGAUAAUAAUCA
rnacentral:misc_RNA from 1 species